UACGUAGGGCGCAAGCGUUAUCCGGAAUUAUUGGGCGUAAAGAGCUCGUAGGCGGUUUGUCGCGUCUGCCGUGAAAAGUCCGGGGGCUCAACUCCGGAUCUGCGGUGGGUACGGGCAGACUAGAGUGAUGUAGGGGAGACUGGAAUUCCUGGUGUAGCGGUGAAAUGCGUAGAUAUCUGGAGGAACACCGGUGGCGAAGGCGGCAUCCUGGACCAACACUGACGCUGAGGAGCGAAAGCCAGGGGAGCAAACGGG
rnacentral:rRNA from 1 species